GCGCCGGCGAACACGAGCCCAGCACUGCCGGAAUUCCGCGCCGACGAACCACCCAGAACCUCCGGUUUUCGCGCCUCCCACCGCGAUGCCUCGCCACUGCCGCAGGACCCCACUGCCGGCCAAUCUCCCUCCCAUCCCCUGUUUUUGUGACUGCUCAACUGAGCAGAGAUUAAACGGAAAGGAUGUUACAGCCUCCCCCGACUCUCAAGGUUAUUAAGCAGGAAUCGAGGUAUGAGCAUAGCCAUUGCAAGAGCGUUGUUAAUAAGGAACAUGUUCAAGGGAAAGUGUGCGGUAUCUUGUGUUAGAGAAAUUAUUAUUAUUUGAGUCAAGUAUUUAUGUAUAAUUAUCAAGGACAAUUUAGGGUUGCAUUGUAUUAGUGGGCCAUAUCCCACAGGCUUAAAUUCCA